AGCGAACGCUGGCGGCGGGCCUAACACAUGCAAGUCGAACGAACCCCUGGGGGUUAGUGGCGGACGGGUGAGAAACACGGGGACACGUGCCUUGAGGUGCGGAAAAAUUUAGGGACAUUUGUGCAAAUAGCGUAUGUGCUCUGCGGGGGAAAGAUUUAUCGCCUUUAGAGCGGCCCGCGUCUGAUUAGCUAGUUGGUGAGGUAAUGGCUCACCAAGGCUACGAUCAGUAGCUGGUCUGAGAGGAUGACCAGCCACAUUGGGACUGAGACACGGCCCAAACUCCUACGGGAGGCAGCAGUGGGGAAUCUUGCGCAAUGGGCGAAAGCCUGACGCAGCCAUGCCGCGUGGAUGAUGAAGGUCUUAGGAUUGUAAAAUCCUUUCACCGGUGAAGAUAAUGACUGUAGCCGGAGAAGAAGCCCCGGCUAACUUCGUGCCAGCCGCCGCAGUAACAC
rnacentral:rRNA from 1 species